CCUUGGCGCCUUGUGUGGUGGGGCGCUUUGUGCAGGGCAAUGCUUUCCGUCUUAGGGCCCCUGAGACCUUAACCCAUGGCUGGGAAUGAGGCUGGUGAGGGCCGGAGAGGGGAGACAGAGGGAGAAAGGCUGAGUGGGGCCUUGGAGGACAUGGGGAGGGGAACCUGGGGGUCCCCAGGGGUUAGGAGGUGAGCUGCCCCAGUUUUGCCUGAACUCACUUUCCUGCCUUCUCUCGCCCGCCUCCCCCCCACCCCCACCCCAGCCUCACGCUGUCUCCCGGCUCCCGGGGAAGGUUUGUCUCUAGACAUCCUUACUUGUUCCCUGAGGACCAGGGGUGUGGGGAGGAAAUGGCUUUUCCACCCCACGGAAGGGUGCUGUGUCUUUUCUUAUCUUACCUCCCACUGCUUGAAUUCGCCUUCACACAGAUUUUCCCAAACACAACCUCCAGUCUGACCUGCCCUCUUGACCCAAACCUGGCCCCUCGCAACUAAAGGUCCAAGAUGCUCCAUCUCCCUCUCUCUUUAAAUCAGAAUGUUUCCAAGUGAAGGAGCCAGUGUCCUUGUCACCCUGGCUCUGCCACCUCCUUUGUGUCCAUCACGGACUCCCCGUCUCCUAACCGUCUAGGUUUAUAACCACAGAGCCCUCUGGAGUCUGUCUUAGCACUUUUGUGCUGUUAUCCUUCUCCCAGGAUCUUGCCACAUCUGUCUUUUCCUUUCCGGAAACAAAAUUGCCUCCAGAACCCCGGCCCUUGCCUGAGUUUGUAUUUGGCAAGAAUCGGUGAAUGUUCUGGGGAGAACUGUUGAAGAAAGUCUGCUAGUUGGCUCGCCCUCAUUAGACGGCAAGGGACAGGAAGUCAGUAGCAGCAUCUAAUUAUUCCCCUGUGCAGCAGGGUGACGGCCAGGUGACCCCUCUCAACAGGCUGACAGGCACUGGUUAGAUGGAAAAGACACCCACCUCAUCUUUCUUCUGGUCUCUUCUCCCUGUUGACCCAACUUUGGAACUUUCAUAAUUUUUUUCGGCUUUCUCUCUUUAAAAAUGUUUGUUUCCUCUGAAAAAUCUCCUUUGUGUGUCUUGCAAAGACUCAUGCAUAUGGCUCGAGGCAGAGGAGGGAGCAGUGUGUGUGUGUGUGUGUGGUUAGACGAUGAGACUAGACGUGUAAGGAGGCAGAGUUUUAAGCUCUGCCCAUCUCACACAUCCCCCUUGGAAUUCAGUCACUGAGGUUCUGAACCUUGAGAGCGAUGGUUUGGUUUGCGAGGAAGCAUUUCUCUGUUUAUUUCCAUGGCAAUUUCUUUCUGUCUUGUGCAAUCUCCUAUGGUGGGCUUUCCAUCCAGUACUUAACCUUUGAAGGCGCCACCUUCAGUAAUGGUGGAGGCUUUAUGAGGUGGGUUGGUGACUCUGGGCUGGGCCUCUAGGAAUGUCUCCUGUGUUGGUGCCAUGUUAGAGAGGCCAGGUGGAGGAGGGGACCACUGGAGCAAGCCACACAGCACUUAUCCAGUGAGCUGUCCCAAAGUGGGCUCCAGCCUUCCCAGAGGGAGGAAGAGGAAGCACCGCUGAUGAUGAAGUUGAUGAUGAAGAUGCAGAUGAUGAUGAAAAUGAUGGUGAGGAUGAUGGCGAAGGUGGUGAUAAUGAUGAAGAUAAUGAAGCUGUUGACAAAGAUGGUGAUGAUGGUGAUGGAGAUGAUGAAGUUGAUGACAAAGAUGGUGAUGAUGCCAGUCAGGAAGAUGAUGGUGUGGAAGAUGACAACGAAGGGAAUGAUGAUGGUGAUGGAGGUGAUGAUGGUGCAGUUGAUGACAAAGGUGGUGGUGAUGAUGGUGAUGAAGGUGAUGGUGAAGCUGAUGACAAAGGUGGUGAUGGUGAUGGAGGUGAUGAUGGUGCAGUUGAUGACAAAGGUGGUGGUGAUGAUGGUGAUGAAGGUGAUGGUGAAGUUGAUGACAAAGGUGGUGAUGAUGAUGAUGGCGAUGAAGAUGAUGACAAAGGUGGUGAUGAUGAUGGCGAUGAAGAUGAUGAAGUUGAUGUCAAAGGUGGUGAUGAUGAUGGCGAUGAAGAUGAUGAAGCUGAUGACAAAGGUGGUGGUGAUGCUAGUCAGGAAGACGAUGGUGUGGAAGAUGACAACGAAGGGAAUGAUGAUGGUGAUGAAGAUGGUGAAGUUGACAAAGAUGGUGAUGAUGGUGAAGGAGAAGAUGAUGGUGAAGCUGAUGACAAAGACGAUACGAUGAUGAAGAUGAUGAUUUCAACAACAGAACCCUAUCAAGCAACCUGACAUCAUGAGAAUCAGGUGGGAGACCAAUUCCCCAACCCUAUAAGUAUCGCCAGAGGUGGAAGUGGCCGUCAAGCAAUGAGCAUGCCCCUCCCCCCAACCCCUGGUGACUGACAGGCAGAGGUCUGUUCAGGCUCCUGUGCUUGGAAAAAGAAGCAGAGGCAGGGUGGGAAAUGAUCUGGGGGACUCUGGUCCUAUUUCUGAUUUAAUGGCCAAAGGGAAGGGGGAAGACAGGCAGGUGUCUUUACAUCAAGAUGAGUUCUCACAUGAGCUAUUGUAGUCAUUUAUAGGACAGAGCAGGAAUGGCACCUUCUAGUCUACGAUCAUUCCUGUAGGAUUUUCAUUUCAUAUUUAUGGAAGCCAAGCUUCCCCCAAAAACACACCUGGAACCACAAACGUAGCCCUGUUGGCUUUUCCAAUAAGCGAGGGUUAUUACCCAGAUGUAUUUGAGAGUUUUAAAACCAGCUCAAUAUUGCAGAGACUAGAGUCUCCAGAUGGUGGCAGCAGUGAGACACUCUCACUCCAUAGUCCUGGGCUGUGUGUGAAGAGUCACCCUUGGGCUGAAACAUUCCUCUUCUCAGAACCUGCAUUAUUGCUCACUGCCAAUCAAAAUAAUCACUAAGUAUAGAAUAAAUCUAUAAGCCUUUCAUUCAAUAUUACUGAAGCAUAAAAUGAGAGAAAUAGGGAAAAACACCUUUCCUGUGAUUUCUAAUCCAAGUGUUGUGUUUAUAUCCCAGUUUCCAGAAAAUAAAUAUUGUAUAUGCUGUUAGAAUUCAUUGCUUGCAAGAAAUAAGAUCUAUUACUUAGAAAUGUGCUUUUCUGGACUUCCCGUCGUGGCUCAGUGGUUAACAAAUCCGACUAGGAACCAUGAGGUUGUGGGUUCGAUCCCUGCCCUUGCUCAGUGGGUUAAGGAUCUGAUGUUGCUGUGAGCUGUGGUGUAGGCCAGCGGCUACAGCUCCUAUUAGAUCUCUAGCCUGGGAACCUCCAUAUGCUGUGGAAGCGGCCCAAGAAAUGGCAGAAAGACAAAAAAAA
rnacentral:lncRNA from 9 species